ensembl:lncRNA
CUAAACAAGCUUAUGUUUUCUACCUCUGCCUAAGAGAGCAAAAAGAAAACCUACAGGGUAUGAAGAAUUUAAAUUUAUUGUAGGGGAACAUUUCUGAUAAUUAAGGUUUCUCAGCUUUACAUGGGGUGCCAGCUAUAAGAGUGGUUCUGGAAUCUUCUUUAAAGGUGUUUAAGAAUUACCUGAACUUGAUUCUGUCUGGUUGGCUCAGGUAGGGUGUGGCCCUGCAAGGGAAGGAAUGGCCUGUUCUGUCUCAUUGCUCCAGGAUUUGAAUGGCGGUGAGAUGACAAUCUGUCACCUAGACAGAGCCUUAACUGCAUCUCCAAAUCCAUAUGCUUUCACAGGUGGGAGUUACUUGACCAACUUCACAGAGUUUUAUCUCUGCCUUCAGUGGCACCCUGUGUGUUUUACUUAGAUAUGCAGUGUUGCCAUUUGGGUUCCCUCAGGCUAAUUCUGGGGGCUUCUCUAGUGCCUCAGAUGGUAAAGAGUCUGCCUGCAAUGUAGGAGCUGCAGGAGGCGCGGGUUUGAUCCCUGGGUCGGGAAGAUCCCCUGGAGAAGGAAAUGGCAACCCACUCCAGUAUUCUUGCCUGGAGAAUCCCAUGGACACAGGAGCCUGGCAGGCUGCAGUCCAUGGGGUUGCAAAGAGUGGGAUACAACUCAGCUACUUAGCACACAAGCUGAGUCUGAGAUGAAGAUUUGUGUGCAGGCUGUUUUCUAGAGGGCGCUCUUGGUAUCAAUGCUGUGGAAGGGAAGGGGAGGAAGUAGGAUCAGGCUGAGGGAGAAGGCAGCCCUUUCGGGGAGAGGAUCUUGUGGGUUGCUGCAGGCAGUGACAGUGAUUUGCAGAAAGGUCAAUUAUUUGGAAGAGUUUAAAAAGGAUUGGAAUUCACCAGUGGAGCUAUCUAGUCCUGAACUUUUCUUUGUUGGUUGUCCAAUUUGCUGGGCUAUAACGUGGCACUGUGAUAAAGAGACUGCCUGCCAAAGCAAGAGAUGUGGUCUCGAUCUCUGGGUUGUGAAGAUCCCCUGGAGUAGGAAAUGGCAAUCCAUUCCAGUAUUCUUGCCUGGGAAAUUCCAUGGACAGAGAAGCCUGGUAGGCUGCAGUCCAUGGGGCCACAAAGAGUCAGACAUGACUGAGCGACUGAAUACAGCACAGUUGUUCAUAGUAGUCUCUUAGGAUCCUUUGUAUUUCUGUGGUAUCACUUGUAAUGUCUCCUCUUUCCUUUAUAAUUUUAUUUAUUUGAAUUCUUUGUCUUCUUUUUUUCUUGGUAGGUCAAACUGAAAUUCCAACACUGGAUAUUACCUGUUUUUUUUAAUGUUUGCUAGUUUGAUGAACUAUAACAUUUUAGUGUUUUAAUUGUAUUUUUGUUUACCGUGAGAAAUGGAAUAUUUUCCUUUGCCGUUUUCCAUUUCUAUUUCUUUUACUAUGAAGUACCUCUUUAUAUUCUUUCCCCCUUUUUAUUAAAUGGUUCACCUUAUUAAUGAAUUGUAAGAAUUAUUGACAUACUG